CAUGCCCGUGCGCGCAUCGCCGCCCUGCUGCAUCCGUCCCUCCCUUGAUUCCUUGGUAUAUCCAUCCCCACCCAAAGCAAGCGAGCAGCUCGAGGAGAGAGUCGAGUGAAGAAGAAGAAACAAACCACCCACCACGACGAAAUCAGACGCCAGCCACGAGCGAACCAAGGGAGGGAGGGAGGGAGGCGGAUGGGGCAGUGCCCGUGUUUCGGCGGGUCGGCGCAGGCGGCGGAGCAGGAGCGGCAGCGGGCGGAGGCGGAGCGGCGCGAGUCGCAGGACGCCCGCGCCAAGGCCGCCGAGGCCGCGCAGCGGAGGACGCGCUCGGGUUGAGGGUUUAUCGGAUUGUGGGAUUUGAUUGGGCGCCCCCGCCGCCUCCCCGAACUCCAAGACGUUGGAUUUAGUGGACCCUCGAUCGAAUCAUAUUCUCAUGGCCGCCCUUCCUGAAUCGAAUCGAAUUGAAUCCAGCUCGGCCUCGGCUGUUGUAGUGUGGAGCUGCCACUGUGGUAGCCUAGAUCCUGCUUCUUGACAGCAGGAGUAUGAGAAAUCGGCAGCUGGAAGGGCAGCCAAAGCACAGAUGAAGGCGAUGAAGGAAUCCAAGACAUCAAACCAUGGAGGAGGAGAGCCGGUUCUUAAGUGGCAGAUGGGGUCAUAACUUUCAUUUCUGUUGAUUUGAAUCCCUCAGUGUACUUUUGAUGGCAAACAGGAAAUUGAUUGCGACUAAUUUCUGAUAGGAUGCACUGUGAUUGUGUGAUUAUGCCAGUGAAGUGUACAUCGGUUUUUCCAUCUGCUAUACUGUACAUGCUACCCAUAGACUGCCUAACUUUCCAGUUACAGCUUACAAGUUUGUGUUGUGUAAAUGAAGAACAAAGUAUAUUUUUUAUGAACACCAGUAUACUGGUAGCAUUUGCAUUGAGGCUUUUACCCCACUUUAUAUAUUUAUAAAAGCCAUAGUCUGACUACAGUACUGAA